rnacentral:lncRNA from 1 species
UCAACUGACAAUCGAAAGACACAUAGAGGCCGCACUUGUGGCGGACGGGUACUCUCCGCAAGUUGUCCUUGAAAAAAGAGAGAAGAUCCGGGGCUUUAUGUUCUACCCAAAUGGACGGGCCUUUAGCGAGGGCACUUUCGCGGGUUAUCUGACCCAAAUUGCCUAUUUUGGUAGACGGCAAAGCGUUCCAUAUCGCCGGAUUCUAACAGCCGUCCGGAACUAUGAUCUCUUUUUAGAUUCAAAUUCUUCGUUUUUUUCUUUCUUCAAAGGAAUCCAAGAUUAUAGUGUACUCUUCGCUGAAGUAGGUAUCAAUCAUAAUAGGAGAGAUCUGUUUACCGGGACGAACCAUCAAGAGACCUGCUGCAUAAGGCUUAUGAACGUCAUCGAUCAGUAUAAUGGAACCUGAAGUAGUACAUCCAAUGUUCUAGCCCUGGACUCGCUGCAAUAUCAUGGUGCUGAGCUGGUUGCAGCAAUUAGUCGAGCCAGGAAUCAGGAAGACCAUCAUGGGGCUGAAGAAUGCGCAGGAUGCUUGGGAGAGCCUGAAGGCUCGCUAUGGCCAAGGAGAUGUAAUCAGAAUUGCAGAACUCCUGGAACAACUUUCAAAUCUGAAGCAAGGUAAUCAAACAGUGACGGAAUACUAUGGAUCCAUUAUCACUCUUAGAGAUGAAUUGAGAAACUACCAACCCUUGUUCAAUUGUGACUGUACGGCCACUAGCCAUAUGGAUUGCCUGGCAAUGAGGAAGGUUUAUGUCUAUGAAGAUACAAAUAAUGUCAUCCACUUCUUGAGAGGUCUUAAUGAGAAUUUUGCUGGUCCACGCACACAAGUGCUCUUUGGUGAUGAACUGCCUAACAUAGACAAGGUGGUUCAACGCAUGAUACAGCAUGAGAGGCAGUUGUAUGGAACUCAGCUUAAAGGCUCUAAUGAUCCCAUGACGAUGGUGGCUCCAACAUCCAGCAUCAACUAUGCUGGUCAGCAAGGGGGUUGGCGACCAGGACCUCAAAAGGGAAGAACACUAUUCUGCACUUUCUACAAGAUGCAAAACCACACAGUAGAAAGAUGUUUCCUAAAAAAUGGCUUCCCUCCAGGAGUCACUCCUAGGCCUAUGCCACAGCCAGGACCAAGGCCACCAGCAGGUCCCAGACCCCCUUUUACCCCAAGUCAUGGAAGUUACAAACCUCAAGUUCAUGCAGCUUUGCAACCAAGCGAAGGAGGGGCAAUCCAGCUAACACACGACCAAUUCUCUCAACUUAUGAGUGCCAUGAAGCUCAAGGAUACACCAGGAGCAACCACUUCCAGUCCCCAAACAUCAGGCGCUCAUAAGCCAACUACACUUAUGUACUUAGCAGGCAAGUUUUGUUGUGGUAAUUUUGUCCAUUCUCCACCAGAUGAAGUCGUUUGGAUUGUAGAUACAGGUGCCUCAGAUCACGUUGUCAACUCACUAGCCCUGAUGGCAUCAAGCAAGAAAAUUGAUGCUUUGAUGAUCACGUUGCCUACUGGACAGCAAGUGCAAGCAACUCGCGUUGGAAAUGUUUUGAUCAAUGACACUUUGUUGUUGUAGAACGUUCUAUAUGUUCCUGACUUUACAUUUAAUCUCAUCUCAGUUAGUAGAUUAACAGCUCAGCAACCCUUGAGACUGACCUUCUCUUCCACACAUUGUGUGUUGCAGCAGGACCUAUCGAGGAACACCACGAUUGGUUUAGCUGAACUGCACAAGGGACUGUACAAGCUGAUGACCUGCAAACCAGUUAGUCACAUCGCUUCCAGUCAAAGAAAUAAACCUUUUGAUUUGUGGCAUUAUCGUCUAGGACACGUUUCCCAUCAUAGAACCCCUUUCCUUAAGCAGCUCCAUUCUAGUAUAGAAACAUUCCACUUAGCUCCCUGUGAUGUUUGUCAUUUUGCUCGUCAAAAAUGUUUAUCUUUCCCUCAAAGUGUUUCAAGUAUGAAAGUUCCUUUCGAGUUAAUCCAUGUUGAUCUUUGGGGGCCAAAUGCUUGUCCUUCUUACGAUGGCUACCUCUAUUCCUAACCAUUGUUGAUGAUUUCACUCACGUGACCUGGAUCAUGAUGCUGAAGUUGAAAUCUGAAGCCAGACCCUCACUGCAAAAUUUCUGCUCUUAUGUCUCUAACCAAUAUAAAACCAGUAUCAAACGAAUUCGAAGUGAUCAAGGCAAGGAAUUUUCCAUGCCUGUUUUCUAUCAGGAGAAAGGAAUCCUUCAUGAAAUGUCAUGCGUUGAGACACCCCAACAAAAUAGUAAAGUCGAAAGAACAUCAACAGAUUGUAAACAUUGCCAGAGCCCUCAAGUUCCAAGCCAACCUCCCUAUAACCUUCUGGUCUAAUUGUGUCAAGCACUCAGUGUUUCUAAUGAACAGAAUUCCCACUCAUGUCCUCAACAACAAAACACCCUAUGAAGCCCUCCAACACUCUAAGCCUAAACUCGAGGAACUAAGGGUUUUUGGAAGUCUGUGCUAUGCCAGCACUGUUGCUGGACAUAGAACCAAGUUCCAGAAACGAGCCAAAAAAGGAAUUUUCAUAGGUUUCACCCCUAGAAUUAAAGGAUACAAAAUCUAUGAUCCGUCCGGAACUAUGAUCUCUUUUUAGAUUCAAAUUCUUCGUUUUUUUCUUUCUUCAAAGGAAUCCAAGAUUAUAGUGUACUCUUCGCUGAAGUAGGUAUCAAUCAUAGUAGGAGAGAUAUGUUUACCGGGACGAACCAUCAAGAGACCUGCUGCAUAAGGCU